AUUGAACGCUGGCGGCAUGCUUUACACAUGCAAGUCGGACGGCAGCAUAAAAGAGCUUGCUCUUUUGAUGGCGGGUGGCGAACGGGUGAGUAAUGCAUCGGAACGUACCGAGUAGUGGGGGAUAACUGUCCGAAAGGAUGGCUAAUACCGCAUAUUCUCUGAGGAGGAAAGCAGGGGACCUUAGGGCCUUGCGCUAUUUGAGCGGCCGAUGUCUGAUUAGCUAGUUGGUGGGGUAAGAGCCCACCAAGGCGACGAUCAGUAGCGGGUCUGAGAGGAUGAUCCGCCACACUGGGACUGAGACACGGCCCAGACUCCUACGGGAGGCAGCAGUGGGGAAUUUUGGACAAUGGGCGCAAGCCUGAUCCAGCCAUGCCGCGUGUAUGAAGAAGGCCUUCGGGUUGUAAAGUACUUUUGUCAGGGAAGAAAAGCCUGAGGAUAACACCCUCAGGUCAUGACGGUACCUGAAGAAUAAGCACCGGCUAACUACGUGCCAGCAGCCGCGGUAAUACGUAGGGUGCGAGCGUUAAUCGGAAUUACUGGGCGUAAAGCGAGCGCAGACGGUUAUUUAAGCAAGAUGUGAAAGCCCCGGGCUCAACCUGGGAACUGCGUUUUGAACUGGGUAACUAGAGUGUGUCAGAGGGGGGUAGAAUUCCACGUGUAGCAGUGAAAUGCGUAGAGAUGUGGAGGAAUACCGAUGGCGAAGGCAGCCCCCUGGGAUAACACUGACGUUCAUGCUCGAAAGCGUGGGUAGCAAACAGG
rnacentral:rRNA from 1 species